AUUGAACGGUGGUGGCAGGCCUAACACAUGCAAGUCGAGCGGAUGAACGUUGCUUUCUCCUGGAUUCAGCGGCGGACGGGUGAGUAAUUCCUAGGAAUCUGCCUGGUUUUGUCGGAUAACGUCCUUAAACGGCCGCUAAUACCUCUUACUUCCUGAUUGUUAAAGUGGUGGAUCUUCGGAUCUCAUGCUAUCAGAUUAUCCUAGUUCGGAUUAGCUAGUUGGUGGGGUAAAGGCCUACCAAGGCGAGGAUCCGUAACUGGUCUGAGAGAAUGAUCAGUCACACUGGAACUGAGACACGGUCAAGAAUACUACGGGAGGGAGCAGUGGGGAAUAUUGGACAAUGGGCGAAAGCCUGAUCCAGCAAUGAGGCGUGUGAGAAGAAGAUGUUCGGAUUGUAAAGCACUUUAAGGUGGGAGAAAGAGCAGUAGGUUAAUACCUUGCUGUAUUGACAGUACCAAGAAAAUAAGCACCGGCUAACUACGUG
rnacentral:rRNA from 1 species